ACUUGACAACCGCGAGCUCAUGACCUGAGCUGAAGUGGAACGCUUAACCGAAUGAGCCACCCAGGCGCUCCUUGCCUUCCUUUGAAUUACUAGCCUUGGCACUAUGGAUUUAAACAUGAAAUGGACUGGCAGGGUCAGAGUCGUGUAUUGGAGUGUCUGUUAAUUUAGAUGCUGUGUGAUGUUGAAGCUGAACCACAUGACACUGAGCCCAUCAGAAUAGAUGGUGUGUAUAUACUAAUGAGCACAUUGGAUGCUUCAUGUGGGGAAGACAUGAUCGUAAAUGGGAAUACAGCCAAAUGAACAUAUAACACCGAAAGUUUGGCAAUGCAAGGAACAGUUAUCCGGGGCCAAGAGUGAGAAAACAGAUGGGUACUUGGACUAGACCACCCAGGCAGGGACAGCCAAGGUGCUCAUCACGGUGGUGUGGAUGAUUGUCCAGUCAACUCCCACCUCCUGCUCUCCUUGCGAAAGAUCUUGGGUGAGAGAGGGUCCAGAUACAGGAGGCAGAAGGUCAUCAGUAGAGACACUCCAGUGGGGUCUCCCUGAAGCUAACUUGUUCCCAGUUGAGAUGACUUUCCAAGAGGUUGUUCGAGGAAAUAAUUUGGGCGUUUAGUUUCCUUGGAGAGAUCUGAGGGCUUAGCUGAAGAGAGGAGCCAAAUGCAUUAAGAUUAGAUUCUGCUGAGGUGGCAGAAACCUCACCAUAACAGUGGCCUAAUAAAAACUCUAUUAUUAUUCAUAUAAAAGAUGAAGAGAUGUGUCAAUCUGGAGCGGAUAUCUUGUUCUACGAUGUCAGGCACCCGGUCUCCUUCUACCUUGUUGAGCAUGUGGCUUCUACCGUGGGACACAAGGUGGUUGCUCAAGCCCCUGCCAUCACAUCUUUCUAGAAGCAGAGAAGGGGAGAAGGGAAAGAAGGGCAUGCCCCCUCCCAUUAAACACAGUUCUAGAUGGUGCCCACAGCCCUCCCUUCAGUUGCAUACCUAUCCAGGAUUACUCAGAAUCCUGACAAGUCCAGCCCCCAAAUUAGAAGUUCUUCUUGUCAAAGAACAAGGGGAGAAAGGAUUUAUUUUGUAGUAUAGCCAUCAGUCUUUGCCACUUGAGGGCAGACAAGAGGAAGGUCUUGAAGUUCUGUGAGUCAUUAGGGUUGGGCUUCCAGGGCUGGUCACUCCAGAUCUGUAACUCGGGCAUUACCAGGAACUGCUGUACGCUUGUGGGGUGAAGACAAGGUGGGGGCGAGUUGGAGAGGCAGCUCGUUUCCUGAGGCCCAUGCCCAUGCAUACAAGCACUUGGAUCCCACCAUGGGAUAGACCCACCAUGUGGACCAGUGACAUCUCCUGACACAUGCCCCUCACAACAGCACUUUUGCAAAAUGGUAGAAGGCCUGACUCAAAAGUUGGGGUUCUGAAAUAAUUUUGUGCAGUGUCACUUUAUAGACAUGAAGCGGGCCUCUUUAUGGUGAGAAGUCUCAGGACGUUUAGUGUGGACGAUAGCGUAUUGUGGAACUCCAAGGGUAGGAUCGGUCCUGUGGUGUCCUCUCCCCUUCCACCCACAGUGCAUCUCCAGGAUCCUGGGGUGCCCACCUGUGGACUCAGAGACACACAGGACAAGAGACUCUGCAGGUGAAUCUCCUGGUGCUGUCUCUGGCAAUGUGAGUAACAGCAGACUGGUGCUACAUGAGGAGAUUGGGGGAGGGGCAACAAAGGGAGCGAAAGAUGCCGAAGUUCAAGUUGAAAAAGGAAGAAGUGAUUUGCAAUCUGGAUGAGACAGCAAAGGCAUGGGGGUUAAAGUGGAAACUCUCAAGUAGGACAGGUGUGACAAGAAUUCUGAUUGAUCCUCCUCCCAGGAUGGCAGAGAGAGAGGACCUGAUUGUUAUGACCCAAACGAAGAUCAGCAGUGCAUUCAAAGCAGUAGGAGAGGGGGCACUCCAUGUGUAACCUGCAGGCUGACCGUGAGACAAGGAUAGCUUGAGAAAGCCAGAGUGACAUUAGACAUGUCCUUCCACACACCUUUUAGCUAUUCUGGAUAAAGGGCUCAUCAUAGACGCUGCUUACGAGCCGAGCUUUAGCCCUCCAAAAAUAUGGAGAAUUAUCUUUCCCUCAGAUUUAAAACUUUUAUUUUAGGGAAAACGUCCCCCUUUUCCUAAAAGGUGUAGGGAAAAUAAACUUCCAGAGGAGGAGUCGGUGGUGGUGGUGUUCAUAUGCGAUGGGGAAGUGGGAGUGGCCUUCCCCGUGUCCCCUCUUCUCUAUGUGGGUUUCUCCACGUUAUCUGCUAUAUGGAGACAAGUCUAUGUCUUUGCAAACCCCAUCUCUGAGGGGUGGAGAGACAGAGAAGGAGGGACAAGAAAAGGAGGGUGAGAAAAUAUCAUUUUUCUCUUGCAACAUAUAUCCCUACCCCUUCACCGCACCCCUGCUCUGUCACUUCUGGCUCUAUCUUUCCACAAUUACUGAAAUUCGCUCAUUUGAUACAACCUUCUGGAUGCCCUUUCUCCCUCUCCAUUUAUGGGGUUCCUUCUGUAUUUUGACUUCACAACAGAAAUCAGAGCUCGGCUACUGGCUUUUUUAGAUGUUGAGAGCACACAGCCAGUGCUCCCCAGUGGAGCCUCGUCCAUGGUCCAGGCUGGGGCUGGGGUGCACGUUCUGGGCUGUGAUUGAGGAUCAAAUGGCGGGUCUGCUGGCAGGUGCUAGGUAGGGGAGGCUUGAAGUUCAUGUGCAUGCACACUCUCCCCGUUAUCUUAAGCCUCCUUCAAGCUGCCUUUCAUUUAUUUUAACCUGAUUUUACUGGAACAAAUAUGCUCAAAGAUCGAGUUAGGGGUGGAGACAAAGUACUGCUAAUUCUCCCUUCCCUCUGCCCAUCAAGCUAACCAGUCACUUUGUGCAGCUCAGCAGAGCGGAACCGAAAAUUCCUUACCCUUGUUUGUCUCCAUACCCGUUGGAAUUUAAAAUAGAGAGCAAAGGUAGUUUCUGAGAGAGCCUCUCCUUUCCAUAUUUGAAGAUUAGCAGCACGGUGUGUAUUUCUAGCAGGACUUGGUAUGACCUAAGCGAUGCUCCCAGCACUCCCCUGUGCGCAAACCCAUCUCACGUGGUAUAUGAUAACUUGUCCCCAGUGCUGCAGAAAACUAAGAGGGAAGAGUGAGAGAAUCCACUCAUGCAUAAUUGAAGUCUAGGCAGAUAUUUAUUGGAUUCAUAAGCCUGAGUUAUUGACAAAGAGAAGGGGGAAAUAGCAGAAUUGUCAGUGGCAUUAAUAAUCUGUGCCAAAGGGUAGCAGCACCUACGUACUUCAGGAGGGCAAUACAAAAGGCACACACGUCCAGCGGAGGAAGACAUUCAGUAAGCUCUGGCCAGGGCAGCUCAAACAAAUCUAUACUGGAUCCCCAGCUUGAAAAGCUCACACUGAGACUUGAUAAAUGUGCCACUUCAUUUCUCUGAGUAGUGUAUUCCAUACGUGGCCAAACACUUCAACACUUCAGACCACAUCCUUUCUGAUUUUAGAAUUUUUCCCAACAAGAGUGCGUUUUAAAACCUGAACUCUUGGAUGCAGGAAGAAAACUUUUGUGGACAGACCAAGCAGAAUGUUCAGCUGGCCGUGGCUGCGGGGAAGGAAGACAAUAUAGGCAUUUACAGGCUGGGCCUUCUGGAAUCCUCGUUGAGAAGUGUUGGAUGUGGGCUCCAGAGAGGUCUGCCCACCUCCCCAUCCUUACACUGUGCUGCAGCCCCUUUCAAAUAUCACACAUGAACAGCAACAGAAAGCUUCUUUCUUUCCCUGAAUGGGAGAAGUUAGCCUUAAGUUUUGUGCUUUGUGUUGAGCAGGGCGCUUUAUUUUUUGAUUUUUACUUUUGAUCGUCCCAAAUUAAGUAUUUGGAAAUCAACUGACGUUCCGUACCCCACCCCCACCCAUGCCUUUCUUGGCAGCAAUUAAUUUUUUGGUCUGGAAUACUUCCAAAACCUACGGAGAACUAACUUCCAUGAGCCACUUGGCUUUCAAUCAUAAAUGUCAGACACAUAAACAACGCGUGUAGCACUGUCUCACAUAACACAAUUAAAAGAUGUAAAUACAGAGUCUUUCAGUCAAAUCAACUGUGCAAAUAAAUACACUGUGGAAUGUGUUACAUAUGUGCAUCUUUAAGGUUAUAAACACACACAUCUGUUUAAAUCCUGUGUGUAUGAAGUUUGCACACAAGUAAAAGUUGGUGAUACUAUUUUUUCUUCCUCACCCUGUUAAAACAAAAAUGCAUUUGUGUGUCAAAAAAUCGAGUGCAAUCUAAAAAUGAUGUGUAUUUCCACCGCGUGUUUUUAUAUAAAAUGAAAUUACCCAUCGUA